rnacentral:rRNA from 1 species
UACGUAGGUGGCAAGCGUUGUCCGGAUUUACUGGGCGUAAAGAGCGCGCAGGCGGUCGUUCAAGUCGCGUGUGAAAGCCCCCGGCUCAACUGGGGAGGGUCACGCGAUACUGAUCGACUGGAAGGCAGGAGAGGGAAGCGGAAUUCCCGGUGUAGCGGUGAAAUGCGUAGAGAAUCGGGAGGAACACCCGUGGCGAAGGCGGCCAUCUGGACCAGUACUGACGCUGAGGCACGAAAGCGUGGGGAGCAAACAGG